rnacentral:rRNA from 1 species
ACGCGGAGAACUGAAACAUCUAAGUACCCGGAGGAAAAGAAAUCAACCGAGAUUCUGUUAGUAGCGGCGAGCGAACGCGGAUCAGCCUUUAAGUGAUAGCUUUUGUAUUAGGGGAACCAGCUGGGAAGCUGGGCGAUAAAGGGUGAUAGCCCCGUACUCGAAAAUACGAUUGUGGUACUAAGCUUAAGAUAAGUAGGGCGGAGCACGUGAAACUCUGUUUGAAGAUGGGGGGACCAUCCUCCAAGGCUAAAUACUCCUGACUGACCGAUAGUGAACCAGUACCGUGAGGGAAAGGCGAAAAGAACCCCGGUGAGGGGAGUGAAAUAGAUCCUGAAACCGCGUACGUACAAGCAGUAGGAGCCUCUUUUAUGGGGUGACUGCGUACCUUUUGUAUAAUGGGUCAGCGAGUUAUUGUUAGUAGCAAGGUUAACCGUUUAGGGGAGCCGUAGG